UGAGUACGAGCUGCUACGGCAGCGAAGUGGGUGAUGUCAAGCUUCCAAGAAAAGCCCUAUACCCGUUAAGGCAUGAUGGCCUGUACCCGAAACCGACACAGGUGGGGUGGUAGAGAAUACCGAGGGGCGCGAGAUAACUCUCUCUAAGGAACUCGGCAAAAUGGCCCCGUAACUUCGGGAGAAGGGGUGCCACCGCAAGGUGGUCGCAGUGAAGAGGCCCAGGCGACUGUUUACCAAAAACACAGGUCUCCGCUAAGUCGCAAGACGAUGUAUGGGGGCUGACGCCUGCCCAGUGCCGGAAGGUUAAGGAAGCUGGUCAGCGUAAGCGAAGCUAGCGACUGAAGCCCCGGUGAACGGCGGCCGUAACAAUAACGGUCCUAAGGUAGCGAAAUUCCUUGUCGGGUAAGUUCCGACCCGCACGAAAGGCGUAACGAUCUGGGCGCUGUCUCGGAGAGAGGCUCGGCGAAAUAGAAUUGUCUGUGAAGAUGCGGACUACGUGCACCCGGACAGAAAGACCCUAUGAAGCUUUACUGUAGCUUGGUAUUGUGCUCGGGCUCGGAAUGCGCAGGAUAGGUGGGAGGCUAUGAACCAUUGCUUGUGGGUGAUGGUGAGCCACUGGUGAGAUACCACUCUUUCCGAGCUAGAGUUCUAACAGCCACCCGUUAUCCGGGGGCUGGACAGUAUCAGGUGGGCAGUUUGACUGGGGCGGUCGCCUCCUAAAAGGUAACGGAGGCGCGCAAAGGUUUGCUCAGGCUGGUUGGAAAUCAGCCGACGAGUGUAAAAGCAGAAGCAAGCUUGACUGUGAGACCUACAAGUCGAACAGGGAGGAAACUCGGCUUUAGUGAUCCGACGGUUCUGCGUGGAAGGGCCGUCGCUCAACGGAUAAAAGUUACUCUAGGAUAACAGGCUGAUCUCCCCCAAGAGUUCACAUCGACGGGGAGGUUUGGCACCUCGAUGUCGGCUCAUCGCAACCUGGGGCUGAAGUCGGUCCCAAGGGUUGGGCUGUUCGCCCAUUAAAGCGGUACGCGAGCUGGGUUCAGAACGUCGUGAGACAGUUCGGUCCAUAUCCGGUGCAUGCGCAGGAAUAUUGAGAGGAUUUCUCCCUAGUACGAGAGGACCGGGAGGAACGCACCUCUGGUGUACCAGUUAUCGUGCCAACGGUAAACGCUGGGUAGCCAUGUGCGGAGAGGAUAACCGCUGAAAGCAUCUAAGUGGGAAGCCCACCUCAAGAUGAGUAUUCCCAUGGGGUAACCCAGUAAGGUCACGGGAAGAACACCCGUUGAUAGGCUCUACGUGGAAGCGCAGUAAUGUGUGAAGCGGAGGAGUACUAAUAGACCGAGGGCUUGAC
rnacentral:rRNA from 1 species